rnacentral:rRNA from 1 species
GCCUGUUUAUCAAAGACAUAGUAAGACUCAGUCUUAUAUAUCUGCCCAAUGAUAAAUAUUUUAUGGCUUUAAAGUAGCGCAAUAAUUAGUUUAUUAAUUGUAAACCUGAAUGAAGACAGCAUUUCAAACAACUGUUUAUUUUUAUUACUUGAAAUUUAACUGUUAGUUAAAAUGCUGACCUGACCCUUGAAGACGAUAAGACCCUAAAACCUUUACUAAGUUUAGCUGGGAUAGCUUCUUUAUUAUAAUAAAUUAACCCUAUUCUUGUAUAACCAAAAUUUUGCUUUAAAGAAAAGGUACCUUAGGGAUAACAGCGCAAAACAGUUUUAAAGCUCACAUUAAAAACUUGUUAGUGACCUCGAUGUUGAAUUAAGUAAUUUGGGGCUGCAGCAGGUCCCAUUUUAAGUCUGUUCGACUUAUAGUACUUACAUGAUUUGAGUUAAGAUCGACGUAAGCCAGAUUGGUUUCUAU